AUUGAACGCUGGCGGAAUGCUUUACACAUGCAAGUCGAACGGCAGCACGGACUUCGGCCUGGUGGCGAGUGGCGAACGGGUGAGUAAUGUAUCGGAACGUGCCCAGGCGUGGGGGAUAACGUAGUGAAAAUUACGCUAAUACCGCAUACGAUCUAUGGAUGAAAGCGGGGGAUCGCAAGACCGCGCGCGAUUGGAGCGGCCGAUAUCAGAUUAGGUAGUUGGUGGGGUAAAGGCUCACCAAGCCGACGAGCUGUAGCUGGUCUGAGAGGACGACCAGCCACACUGGGACUGAGACACGGCCCAGACUCCUACGGGAGGCAGCAGUGGGGAAUUUUGGACAAUGGGCGAAAGCCUGAUCCAGCCAUUCCGCGUGCAGGAUGAAGGCCCUCGGGUUGUAAACUGCUUUUGUACAGAACGAAAAGGUUUCUACUAAUACUAGGAGCUCAUGACGGUACUGUAAGAAUAAGCACCGGCUAACUACGUGCCAGCCGCCGCCGUAA
rnacentral:rRNA from 1 species